GCCCUGAUAGCUCAGAUGGAUAGAGUGAUUGCCUCCGAAGUAAUAGGUCAAGGGUUCGAGUCCCUUCCAGGGCGCCA
rnacentral:tRNA from 1 species